AUAUAAUGCGACAGGCUGUUGUAAUUGUAGACUACAGAAUUAACGUGCGCUCUUCAUCUGAGAGAUACGGUGCACGCCCCUUUAAUGAACACGCACUAACUCUGAUUAAGUUAACACCGACUCAACUGACCCACAUCUGAACCACCAUCGUACCGUUUAACACAGAUCGAGGCAGUCAGGGUUUGUCAACCCCGACUUUACCUGAGAACCUGAGUUGAACCAGAGGAGGUUCAGCUCUCUUUGUAGGACAGAGCUCAGGACUCAGGACUCAGGACUGAAACUCCCUGUGACCUGUGAAGAGUCUCACACCUGAACCUGGACCUGCUCAUGCUGCUGCUGGGGGAUUUCCCAUGAUGCACUGAGCUCCUGUUGUUCCUGUGUCUCUGCAGCUUCACUCAGUUUUAAUGCAGCAGUGUAACGUGCUGUUUGUUGUUAUUAUUAAAUAACUCCUGUGAGCAGCUUCUGCUACGCUGAACACAAACAGGAGGCUUUUCAUCGGCUGUGGUUUCCUUUUCCUCCUCGCUGAGUUCAUCGCUCCUGCUUGACCUCCUCUUUCUCCUCCUCCUGCUCCUCCUCCUCCUCCUCCUGUCUGAACUGCGUCCGUAGAGUUUAACGCUCGUCGUCACGUGAUUUCUCAGAAACAGAAGUGAAAGCAGUGAAGGAGUAAGCUGUCGACUGCAGACGGUUUGAACGCUGAAGACUCAACACAAACAGUCUCUUCGUCUCAGUCCGUCCUCUCCACAGUCUCUGUCAGAACCAGUUCAGGUCUGUCUCAGUCUCCAUCCUGGACUUCUUUAGGCCUCUGGUAGAAACAGGUGUUUGUGGUUCAUGGAUCUGGUCAAGGUCAGGUCUGUGAUCCAGCUCCUUCAGAAACACUCUCACUGUUCGACAGAUGGUUUGGAUCCUGGUCCUGGUUCAGUCUUGUUCGGUCUGGUUCGGUCUGGUUGAACAGGCUGAUCUGAACAUCAGAGUCUGCAGAGGAAACCUCAGUCUCAGUCUGGACCAGACCUGAACAACAUGGCCUCAACAUUAAGAAGAUAGAGCAAAUAGCUGCCUCCUGAUCCGUCUGAGUUAAUGAACACACUGAGUAAACUGGCAGCUUCAUUCAUCAGACAGUUUGACCACAGUGAAGACAGGAUGAAACAGAUUGUUAGAGAGUUGAAGGAAAUCACUGAGAGAGUGAGAAAGAUGCAGAAGACAACAGACACAGUCAGAACAACAGGAGCUGUUGGAGGAGGAGUAGUACUCACAGUUGGGCUCCUUGCAGCUCCAUUCACUGGAGGGCUGAGCUCAGGAGCAGCAGCAGGAGCAGUAGGUGGAGUUGGUACUGUUGCUGCUGCAAAUAUAACAAAAAAGAUGAAAGAGGAUGGAAGUUUAAAGACAGUAGAAAAAGAAUGGGG